AUUGAACGCUGGCGGCAUGCCUUACACAUGCAAGUCGAACGGUAACAGGUCUUCGGAUGCUGACGAGUGGCGAACGGGCGAGUAAUACAUCGGAACGUGCCCGAGAGUGGGGGAUAACGAGGCGAAAGCUUUGCUAAUACCGCAUACGAUCUCAGGAUGAGAGCAGGGGACCGCAAGGCCUUGCGCUCACGGAGCGGCCGAUGGCAGAUUAGGUAGUUGGUGGGAUAAAAGCUUACCAAGCCGACGAUCUGUAGCUGGUCUGAGAGGACGACCAGCCACACUGGGACUGAGACACGGCCCAGACUCCUACGGGAGGCAGCAGUGGGGAAUUUUGGACAAUGGGCGCAAGCCUGAUCCAGCCAUGCCGCGUGCAGGAUGAAGGCCUUCGGGUUGUAAACUGCUUUUGUACGGAACGAAAAGACUUCUUCUAAUAAAGGGGGUCCAUGACGGUACCGUAAGAAUAAGCACCGGCUAACUACGUGCCAGCCGCCGCAGUAACAC
rnacentral:rRNA from 1 species